GUUUACUGAUGCAAAUCAAAAGUUCAAGUAUUUUUUUGAUGCCCUGCAGCACUUUUUGUCAGAAAAAUCUGUUAUGAACAGUUCUGAGCUCACCUUGUAUUCCAAGAUCGUACCUAUAUUGAUGAAAGAUAUGUCAGAUCAGAGCCUCAGAAUCCAAAGGAUGAGGAUCAAAUUUCUAGCAAGCUAUCCAUUUGUCCCGCCAAGCCACUAGGGUCAAAAACCCUGCCAUCAACUGAAACUUAAGUUACAGCAUUGGGUCUGUGCCAACCCUGCCUACUUUAACCAUGUUAGCCCCAUGCAGGCUAAUGAUGGAGGGGUUUGGUUGAUUCUACUUCCAUGUAUAAAAGCUGCAUCCUGCAGUCAUGUACAGUUUAGUUUACAACUGAAAGAUCAAAAAUGCAGGUAGCUGAAUUGACUAUAGCAAUACUAGCACUUGUUGUGGUAGUCACAAGUACUAUCAUAAUGAUCAUUUCGCUUAAGCUGCAAGUGCAAAGCAGCAGAGAGCAAAGUGCUCUUUUAAAGGGAAUAAUUGCCGUAAAUUACUGAGAUAUAGCAUUGCAUGAAUUAAGACUCAUGUUUGUGGUCAUACAGACAGUGGUAGGGGUCACACAGACCAUUCUGGUGACAAUUUCAAUAAAGUAUCAAAUUCAAAGCAAUAGGGAGACAAGCGCUCUUUUGAGGUGGAUAUGAUAUGUAGUUUAUAUGUUUCUUUUAUGUAGUUGUUGGAAUUUUAGCUGUAUUAGUGAUUGUCAUAAAGACAUCUUACUGGAUAUUUCAAUUACUAUCAAAUUCAAAGUAACAGAAAGACUAGCACUCUGUUUUAAAGAGGACAAUUACUCCUUAUAGAACCAGAAACGGGACAAUUACAAGUCACCAAUAACUGUAGUGAUACGUCUUCCAGUUAUUCCAACAACAGUACAGUUGAUGCCUGCUCACAUAAGUAAGACAAUAAUUUUUACUAAAUGACUGCCUCAAGUUGCCACUGUGGUAGCAACAGCAUUGCCUUACAAUCUAACGAUUGAUAAAUCACUAGUGCUGACUUUUGUGCUGUGCAGCUGUACAUGAAUACAACAAGGGGUAUCAAAAGGCCACCUCCCUUGCUCCACCUUUAGCAUCACAUUUGCAGGCUUGCAGUGGCCAUUGGAAGAGUAAAUCUUACUUAUCAAAAUAUUGAGCUAUUGGCCUUAGUCUCAUGAUGGGAGUGUCUGUGGACUUUGUUAGUGAAAUACAUCAGUUGGGAAUUAGAAUAUUUACUGGUUAUGACUUUAGAGGAAAGAAGAAUAUGUAGAACUGUUCCCAGGAAGCUUCUAAGGAUGCAUAAAACAAAAAUGGAGGUCACAGAAGACUUUUGUUGUCUCCACCAAAAAGAUAAGAAAAAAAAAGUUAAAUCCUCCAAAAGGGGCCAUAGAUUUAGUUUGAAAAAAAUGAAAAUUGCUUGUGCCAAUAACCAAAAGUCAAAUAAUGGUAUAUCAAGAUGGAUAAUUUCUGCUAUUAAAUUAGGUACUGUUAACAGCAGUCCCACCAUCAUUUGCUUCAAAUCUAGCCUCAGAAAUAGAUGCCCAGUUGAUAAAUGGUCCCAUGAUGGAAAACAUGCUCGUCUCAUAAAAGUUGAAAGCAAUGGAAUAUACUCAAGACUUAACUUUGCACUUUAACUUAAUACUCUUCUCUUAACACACGGAGAUGUUGUGAGCAAUGGAGGCCCCAUUGCACCAGUUUGUCACAGUUGUCUCAACUUUUGAAAGCAUAAUAAUCAGUAUGACUGAAAAGGUACGAAAUUAUAGAACGUUUAAUCACAUAUGAAAAAGGCAUGGUCAAUCUCUAUGAGUUCAUUGUACUCUUGUGUACUGUUAGUAAUGAAGACUGCUGCCACUGCCACUUUUUCUUCUUUAAGUACUACUGCUGCUCUAAAGAUGCUCUUAAAGGACGUUUAUAGUAUCACACCUAAUGAUACUACUUUAUAGAAUUGGUUGAGAAGAAAAGGCUUAAUUAGUGAUGUCACUGAUCAGUAAUGUAGGAAGUGUCAUCAAGAGGGGAUGAAAGAAACCCUCUUAUAAGACAGUUGGUCACUGUAGGAGGGAUAUCAACAGGAGUUGUAAACAAAAAGUAAGCAUUAGGCAAUAGGGUUGGUUUGAGGCUAAGAAACUACCCAUAAAUAUGAGUGACAAUGAAUGUGCCAUUGGCUCUCAAUAAAUCCUGCAGCUUUAUAUUCCAUUCAGUACAGGCACAGCUCAGGAAAUUUCAUAAGUGUGGAUGAUUCAGUAAUAGCAAAUAUAAACAAGUAAAUAAACUUUUCAUUUUUAAUAGACUGGUAGAGCUUAGGUAUUUUCUAUCACACUUGAGGAUUCAACCCAAAUUGGAGGACUGGGGGAAGUUGCUGAGAUUGACGAAUCCAAAUUUGUAAGCAAAAGUACUACAAGGGGAGGAGGUUUUUGGGUCCUAGGCAGGAAUAAUAGAUGGACAAGACAGACUUUCUUAGUAACUAUUGAGGACUGUUCUAAAGUUAAAUUGAUCUAAUUGCAUUGACUAUAUUGUUCCGUCCUAAGUUUGGGAAAUUAAAGGAUAUUGGGGGCAAAGCUCCAUGUCUAUCCACUCGCUUCUAUUGUUCCUGAACAGUACCUCAUUCUCUCAGGAACAAAGUAGCUCAGGAGUUUUGACGUCUGGAAAAGCUGGAGGUCAUCACCCCAAUGAAGCAUUCAGAGUGGGCAGCACCUGUUGUGCCAAUAGUAAAAGCAUUUGUCUUUGCGGAGAUUACGAAGUAAUGAUUAAUCCAGUCCUGCUUCCAGACAUUUAUCCUCUUCCAAGAGUCGACAAUCUAUUAGCUGCAUGCAAGUCCUUUUCAAAGUUGGACUUAAAACACGCACACCUACAAGUUCCUAAGAGUCUAAAAAGUACACAACCACUAACGUCCAGCAAGGGCUUUUUCAGUAUGAACGCCUACUUUUUGGCAUGUCCUCAGCUCCAUCUAUGUUUCAGAGGAUAAUGGAUAACAUCCUCAAAGAUGCAUAGAUAUAAGUAUGGCACUGUUAAUUAUUCAUGGAAAUUUGUCAAUUUUGAAACAGGUAAGGACAUAGUGUUCAGUUAUGGGAUCUCCCCCAUAAUUCACAACACAAAAGCACAUGUACAGCACAAUCGAUAUUUUUACAACCAUACUUGAAGCAUUCUUCAGUCAUUCCACAAUUGGUAUUUGAAUCAGUAGAAGUUGUGUCACUUUUUGGCUAGCACGCCUUAAACAACGAAAGGAGUGCCGAGUGCUAUGAAAAUAAUCGGAAUAACAAACAGCCUCCAAUCAAUUCUAAAUGAAAACGUAAGACUAAUUUGUAAUAAGUGCCUACACAGUGAGUCGGUACAUCUCCACCGCUUGAAAAAGCUCGCUCAAAUUCAUCAACAACAACAACAUUGCAACAACACUGCUUUUGAUAUACAUGUACUUGGCCAAAAGCAACUAAUUUUGCUACAUUUGAACCCUUAUUACAAAUAAUUUUUAACUUCCACUAAACCAAUAUAGUGACCAAAUGCCAAUUAUCAAAAAACGAAACCAUUGAAAUUAAACUGAACAAAAGAAAAAAUUUCGAUUGCCUGGAAAGCAUCAUUCAGGACACAACUCAUGACAGCCAUUGUUUGAACAAAUUUACUUCAUACCUCAAGAGGAAACUGAUAAAUUUGUAUCUGACUACAGCACUCCUCAGUCUGUAGUAGCACCCAAAGUAAGGUAGAGCAAGUAGAUUAAAGUACAAGAGUAAAGACUUUGGCAGUGACAAAAAAGAUGAAAGUAUUGGAGCUCUCAUGUACCAACAUAGUUUCACUGCAGCAAAGUGAAGUGUAUUUUUAUGACUAUUGGAAUUAAAACAGGAAAAGGCUAAGCAAGAGAAUGUACCAUUAUCAUCAGGAAAAAUAGCUCAGGAUAUUAAUCUAAGUUUUAAUAAAAUUUGAAUGGAUUCCGUACAGGAGGAAAGACAGAGCUUGUGAAAGCAAAGCUGAGCUAAUAUAGGAUUUGUAAUUUUAAGGAAGUUAAUUACAUUGAUUAUAUUUUUUAGUUAUAAAAUAAUUUGUAGGAGACUCAGUCAAAGGAAAUAUUUGGCAUGAUUUGCUAACAUAUUCAGGGAUAAUGAUACCUUCUUUAUUUGGUAAACUGCAUUUUAAGAAACUGUUGUUGUACCUUCCACUUACCACUACUAGUAUCUUUCAAAACAAUUAGUCUGAUGAAGCAGGUUUUAAACCACCAAUGGUGCUUGAAAUUAUCUUACUUUGAUUUUUGUCUAUGCAUCAUAACAAGAUAGUGCACACAACACUGACUGGUGGUAAUGGGCAGUCCUGGGGUGGGGCAUAUUCUGGGUUCAAGUUAGAAACAGCAGUGGCUGUUGACAUUGCAGUGAAAAAGCAAAUUCCAAUUUUGCUGGUUGUUGUCACAUGCAGAGAGGACCUCGCAUAGUCUGCUCAAAUAACCAGGCACAAGGAAGGAAUGUUGGUCUUCUUUGAGACUCACCUCUAGCUGGAGGUGUCAGCACAGCACAUUUCUGGCUCCUUGUCACAUUGAUCAAUAUUAUUAAUUUUUUUAUAAUGUGCAUGUGAGAGAGGUUGAGCUUAUUAUUUUAUUGAAGAUGGAAUGACAGUUGUACUCAUAGUGUGCUUUGGCACAUGAAGAAACACUAGUGAUACUAAUGUAUGCAGCUUACUUGUAGAAUGAAGCUGGCAAUGGACGUAAUUGGAGGGUGCUUUUGCUUUUGAAUGAGCAAACCAUACAAGAGCUAAGAAGAUGAAUAGGCAGCUUGAGGAGCUCAACAUACACACAAGGAGGAGGAGGUGCAGCACAAACCAAAGGCACUACUGAGUGGAACAAAAAUUUGAUUGUAU